UGCAGUCGAGCGGUAGAGAGAAGCUUGCUUCUCUUGAGAGCGGCGGACGGCUGAGCAUGCCUAGGAAUCUGCCUGGUGGUGGGGGAUAACGUUCGGAAACGGACGCUAAUACCGCAUACGUCCUACGGGAGAAAGCGGGGGACCUUCGGGCCUCGCGCCAUUAGAUGAGCCUAGGUCGGAUUAGCUAGUUGGUGGGGUAAAGGCUCACCAAGGCGACGAUCCGUAACUGGUCUGAGAGGAUGAUCAGUCACACUGGAACUGAGACACGGUCCAGACUCCUACGGGAGGCAGCAGUGGGGAAUAUUGGACAAUGGGCGAAAGCCUGAUCCAGCCAUGCCGCGUGUGUGAAGAAGGUCUUCGGAUUGUAAAGCACUUUAAGUUGGGAGGAAGGGUAGUAACUUAAUACGUUGCUACUUUGACGUUACCGACAGAAUAAGCACCGGCUAACUUCGUGCCAGCAGCCGCGGUAAUACGAAGGGUGCAAGCGUUAAUCGGAAUUACUGGGCGUAAAGCGCGCGUAGGUGGUUCAGUAAGUUGGAAGUGAAAUCCCCGGGCUCAACCUGGGAACUGCUUUCAAAACUGCUGAGCUAGAGUACGGUAGAGGGUGGUGGAAUUUCCUGUGUAGCGGUGAAAUGCGUAGAUAUAGGAAGGAACACCAGUGGCGAAGGCGACCACCUGGACUGAUACUGACACUGAGGUGCGAAAGCGUGGGGAGCAAACAGGAUUAGAUACCCUGGUAGUCCACGCCGUAAACGAUGUCAACUAGCCGUUGGGAGUCUUGAACUCUUAGUGGCGCAGCUAACGCAUUAAGUUGACCGCCUGGGGAGUACGGCCGCAAGGUUAAAACUCAG
rnacentral:rRNA from 1 species